AUGGGUGGCACAUGGAAGGCCAUGGCAGCGUGGGAGACAGCGGGACAAGGACAGCACAAGGCUCUUUUCCACAGCCCAUCUGCAUCCCUGCCAUGGAACAGCCAGCCCUGCUCUCCGUGCAGGUCUCUGCCUCAGGGCUGUGCUUCUGUUCCAAGCACAGUCACAGAGGGCUGGGGGAGAGGUGAAGGAUCACUCUGGGAUCUCUGCUCUUUGAGCACACCCCCUUGGACCUUAGCAGUGAAGAACACAAGGAUACACUGACAGCAGACACAUGGGAGCAGGCUGAGGAAUAUGUACUAAGAUUGUACACAGAACAGGUGAAAGGGGCACUUAGCCCUUGGUUCUCCUGCUAAAAUCAGUAACUUGGAAAGUUGGAAAUUCUUUUAUUAUGAACCACUUCUUAUUCUCUUCUGCUCUUUGGAGCCUCUAGAGUGUCACUUUUUGAGGUGUGACCUGACAAAGUAUGUUCAUACCGUAAUCUUGGAAGAAACAAGGACCAGAGUAGUGAAAAGCGCAUUGUCCUUCCAGGCAGGACCUGGCAACACAGUGGAUGAGUUGAGCCUUCACUGCCCUCCAACCUCUCUAGGUCUUGGUGACAAAGCCCACAGUCUGUGUGUGUGUGUGUGUGUGUGUGUGUAUGUGUGUGUGUGUGUGUGAGACCCCUCUUGUUCUGCUUUUCCACCCAAAGGCAGAGAAACACCAUCAGAGCAGCUCCUGGGGCUGACAGUGCCACGGGGAUGGAAAAUGAUCUUCUGUCCUUUAUAAUGGUACAGAACAAUGCCAGCAUUUGCAUCAAGUAGCUGUAUUUUUGCUUCUGGGAGGGCAUGACAGGUACUCAUUACUGCCCAGUGUGAUGGUAAUUGCCCAGCUCUGCCUUGCUGGCACCUGUCCUGGUGGCAUCAUUCCUUCCACCCAGCCAGUAAUAACCUGUCAUUCCAAGCAGAGUGGUGACUCCAUGGUAUCACUUUCAACAAAGCAGCCAAGCAGAGGAACAGCUACAGGAGCAGCCACUUAAUUGCUUGAUAAUAGUCAUUGCACUUAUUUUAUCUAAUAGUCUUUAUUACAGGUUGCCAACUUUGCAUUUUUCCUUAUUUAGUCAUCUGUCUUGCCAAUGUUUUCAUGAAACACUUCCUUCCAGAUUGUCUGAGGCAUUAUCUGGGGAGCUUACCCAGAACAGAGGUGGAUGUACUGAUUGAUCCACUGCUGCUUGUAGUUAACUUCAGAGGAAAGCCAAACCUCAUUCCUUUCUGUAAGGUUUUAU
rnacentral:lncRNA from 1 species